GAUGAACGCUGGCGGCGUGCCUAAUACAUGCAAGUCGAGCGAACAGAUAAGGAGCUUGCUCCUUUGAAGUUAGCGGCGGACGGGUGAGUAACACGUGGGUAACCUACCUAUAAGACUGGGAUAACUUCGGGAAACCGGAGCUAAUACCGGAUAACAUUUAGAACCGCAUGGUUCUAAAGUGAAAGAUGGUUUUGCUAUCACUUAUAGAUGGACCCGCGCCGUAUUAGCUAGUUGGUAAGGUAACGGCUUACCAAGGCGACGAUACGUAGCCGACCUGAGAGGGUGAUCGGCCACACUGGAACUGAGACACGGUCCAGACUCCUACGGGAGGCAGCAGUAGGGAAUCUUCCGCAAUGGGCGAAAGCCUGACGGAGCAACGCCGCGUGAGUGAUGAAGGGUUUCGGCUCGUAAAACUCUGUUAUUAGGGAAGAACAAAUGUGUAAGUAACUGUGCACAUCUUGACGGUACCUAAUCAGAAAGCCACGGCUAACUACGUGCCAGCCGCCGCCGUAAUAC
rnacentral:rRNA from 1 species